CCCUUAGAUGUUCUGGGCCGCACGCGCGCUACACUGAUCGGUGCAACAAGCAUCCGUCCUUGGCCGACAGGCCCGGGCAAUCUUUGAACGCUGGUCGUGAUGGGGAUAGACUUUUGCAAUUUUUGGUCUUCAACGAGGAAUUCCUAGUAAACGCAAGUCAUCAACUUGCAUUGAUUACGUCCCUGCCCUUUGUACACACCGCCCGUCGCACCUACCGAUUGAAUGGUCCGGUGAAGCCUCCGGAUUGGCGCGCACCUCGGUGCCGCCGAGAAGUUGGCUAAACCUUACCAUUUAGAGGAAGGUGAAGUCGUANCA
rnacentral:rRNA from 1 species